UGGGGAAUUGUUCGCAAUGGGCGCAAGCCUGACGACGCAACGCCGCGUGGAGGACGAAGAUCUUCGGGUCGUAAACUCCUGUCGAGCGGGAAGAAUGCUUUCGUGGUGAAUAGCCGCGGAAAUUGACGGUACCGCUAAAGGAAGCCCCGGCUAACUCCGUGCCAGCAGCCGCGGUAAUACGGGGGGGGCAAGCGUUGUUCGGAAUUACUGGGCGUAAAGGGCUCGUAGGCGGCCAACUAAGUCGGAUGUGAAAUCCCCAGGCUCAACCUGGGAACUGCAUCCGAUACUGGAUGGCUUGAAUUCGGGAGAGGGAUGCAGAAUUCCAGGUGUAGCGGUGAAAUGCGUAGAUAUCUGGAGGAAUACCGGUGGCGAAGGCGGCAUCCUGGACCGACAUUGACGCUGAGGAGCGAAAGCUAGGGGAGCAAACGG
rnacentral:rRNA from 1 species